rnacentral:tRNA from 1 species
CAUCAUAAAGUAUAUAUAGUGUACGAAAGACUGUAAAUCUUUAAGAGCAAUAAGCUGUGAUGU